CCCCAUCUCCCCUGCCUUGUGUUUCCCCUCCUCCUCUGGGUCAACCCUCUGGUCUGGUGCCGUGUGCAUCGCCCGUGGCCGCCGGCGUCCACGGUGACGUGAUCUUGUGGCCUGAUUUCCUCAGAAAGGCGCUGCUCUGUUUUGCGCGCAAUUCUGAAGCUUUCCAGGCAGGGCAGGGGCGCACGUUUGACCACCGCGGUUCUUGCCUCGCAGGCGCGCUCAAGAGGCUGCCGCUAGCUCUGCUCGUGUUCUUCGCGGCGCUGCUGUACAGCCAGAUCCAGCCGCCGCCGUCGAAGGUCCCCGGCGCGCCGGGCGGGCCUCCGGUGACCGCGCCCAGAACGAGGCUCAGGGACGGCAGGCACCUGGCGUACCUGGAAUCCGGCGUCCCCAAGGAGGAGGCCAGGUACAAGAUCAUCUUUGUCCACGGCUUCGAUUGCUGCAGAUACGACGUGCUGAACGUCUCCCAGGUGCACAGAUACGAGCGGUUUCUCUUGUCAACCGAUAAAUUACUCUGGAAAACCUUUUGCUUCUUUUGACACAGCAGCAAUCCGCUUUUACCUGCUUUUUGAGAAAGGCGUUUUGAUUUUGUGAUGACGAGCUGUUGGGAAUUGGUGCAGGGGCUGUUGCAGGAGCUGGGCAUCUACCUGCUGUCGUUCGACCGGCCCGGGUACGCCGAGAGCGACGCCCACCCGGCCCGGACGGAGAAGAGCAUCGCCCUCGACAUUGCGGAGCUCGCCGACAACCUCCAGCUCGGCCCCAAGUUCCAUCUCAUCGGCUUCUCCAUGGGCGGCGAGAUCAUGUGGAGCUGCCUCAAAUACAUCCCUCACAGGUGGAUCGAUCAUACUGGCCAACACUCUAAUUCAUCAUGCGGUCUGCGUUCUUCAGACUUGCAGUACUGAUCGAUCAUUUUGCACCAUGAAAUCGCCCGACCAGGCUCGCCGGCGUAGCGAUCCUCGCCCCGGUCGGCAACUACUGGUGGUCCGGCUUCCCGGCGGACGUGGUCGAGGAGGCCUGGUACGUGCAGUUCCCGCAGGACCAGCGCGCAGUCUGGGUCGCCCACCACCUGCCGUGGCUGACGCACUGGUGGAACACCCAGAACCUAUUCCACAGCUCCAGCGUCAAGGGCAAGAACCCUAUCAUCUUGUCCAAGGAAGACACGGCUCUGUCUCAAAAGUUCUUGGACCGAACCUACAAGGCAAGACGAUCGAACAGCCAGCAUCGCAUGGCUUGAGCCUCGGGCCAUGAUCGAUCCAUCUCUGACUCGGAUCGUGCUCUGGUUCUUGCAGGAGCAGGUCCGGCAGCUGGGGGAGCACGACUCCCUGCACCGCGACAUGAUGGUCGGGUUCGGGAAGUGGGGCUGGAGCCCCCUGGAGAUGGAGAACCCGUUCGCCGGCGCCGGGGACGAGGUGAAGGUGCACCUGUGGCACGGCGUCGAGGACCUCUUCGUGCCGGUUCAACUGUCGCGGUACAUCAGCAAAAAGCUCCCCUGGGUCAUCUACCAUGAGCUCCCGACGGCCGGCCACCUGUUCCCGGCCGCCGACGGGAUGCCGGACGUUAUCGUCAGGUCGCUGCUGCUCGGAGAUGAGUGAUCGGUACUUUUCUUUUCUUUUCUUUUUUUAUGAGCGGUCAAUAUUAGUGAUGCAGCUGCAGGACGACGUGUACUCGCCUUCUGCACCGUUGUACAGCUCGAUCGCUCGUACAAAAAUUAUGGCAUGAGUUGAUGACUUCAGUAAUAAGGCUUGUUUAGUUGCUAAAAUUGGGAGUGCUAAAAUUACUGUGCCGGCACUGUAGCACACUGUAGCGUUUCGUUUGUAUUUGUGAAUUAUUAUCCAAACAUUGACUAAUUAGGCUCAAAAGAUUUGUCUCGCAAAGUACAACAAAACUGUGCAAUUAGUUUUUAAUUUCAUCUACAUAAAUGUACUCCAUGCAUGUACCGUAAGUUUGAUAUGAUGGGAAAUCUUCUUUUUGCAUAGUGUCAAAGUUAUGAGUUGGAGGUGAGGUAAACAAGGGCUAAUAAUGUUGCAGAUGAGAUUCGCUUAAGCUGUUUAACUACGCAAUGGAAUUUCUGUAUUGUUGUUAUUUGGUGGUUUCGCUACGACGAGUUAGCUUGGCGAUAUAUUGACAAAACAUAAUAUUUGCAGUCACUGUCCAAUCAACAAGGGUGCAGUUUGACCAUUUUUUUCAACGGAUUAAAAAGAAAGGUUGUGGAGUGCAUCACAUAUAUGGCUAUUGCGAUGCCUAAUGAUUUUUAUUAGAGUGUCACUGUCCAAUUAAUGCUAAUGUCUCUUUCAAAAGCAUGAUUCUCAGAAAUAUAAGAAUAGGAAAAAUAUAAAAUUGGGGUGCGCCCGCAAAUGAAAUACUACAUAAAUUUAUAGCACAGAAAAAAGAUACAAAACAUUUAUUUGGAUGGACCACGCUAUCCCGCGACAGGUGCCACUCCACUGCUUUGGAGCAUCAUACGGUACUUAAACGUUGCUAUUUAUAGAAGGGGUAAACAUAAAUCGUUAUUCAACUCCUCUACAAAAAUUAUAAUAUUUUAAUUAGCUGGCAUGAUUGGAGAAAAAAAUUCAUGUACCGUCCCUUCCAGAUGAGGGAAGUGAUAUGUUAGUUACGGGGAAUGCUAGUAUAUUUUUUUUAAAUGAGCAUAACUCACUCAUCAAGUGUCCAUUUUUAAUUCCGUUUGCGCCAUUGUGUUUCUAGUGAUGAGAUCUACAAAACAAGAUCCAUAUCCAAUAUGUUUUGAUGCUGUUUUAUAUGACUGGCAACUUAUGGACAAACUGUGUAGCAACUUAUAAACAAAAUGCUGUGUAGCAACUUAUAAACAAAAUAGUGGUAUUAUCAGUCAACUUAUAUGGAGGAUAUGCAUCAAUUUACGAAGAGACUAUGUAUCAACAUAUACAACAACAUUUUGUCGACUUAUUUAUACAUGUACUAUUACCUUAAAUAGAACCGUAUAAACAUUACUUAAGUACAAAUAGUGAUACUUUGGCUAACAACGAAUACAACAGCAUUAUAUCAACUUAUGUGUAGUUGUGCUAACAGCAUAAGUUGCUACACACCUUUUACAGAAGUAGCCACUACAUGUACAACAUAAAUUGCCGGUCCAAAAAAAUAUUUCAAAAUAUAUGCAUGAUGGAUCUACACUCCAUAUGAAAGUUAUAGUAUUUUUAAAGAGCUGAAACAACUAUUGCAAAUUACGUCAUUUAAAUUUCAGGUUGCAACGGAACGUUCCCCUUUAGGUUGGUCCGGCGCUCACUGGUGAAGAUGCACCCACGCUCGCCGAGGAUGAAGACCCCGGGCCCGCUGGUGAAGGCGACCACGGGCGCCUCCAAAUCAGGCACCCCGUCACCAGUCGUGUCGUCACCUUCGCCUUAAGUUGCCGGGAUGAGAGGAGAGGAGGAGUCGAGUGGGAACAAGAGAGAGGAGAGCGGAGGAGUCGCGAGUGUAAGUGACGCGUCGGGAGAGGAGAGGCAAGGUGGCCGGGAAACCCCCGCUAAUAUACCGACGGGAGGUAACCCUAGCCGGUUCAAAAACUAACACGAAGGCCUGCUCGGUCUCCCGCCUUCCUUCCACGUCCACGAAAAGGCACCCGUGUGAGCUUAUACCCCAUGAAACAGUCGAAAUUGACGUUCCACGCUGUGCAGGUUAGCAGGCUGAAUUUGCACCCGGCGGCCCUGGCCCUUGGCACCCUUCAGCGUACCAACAAGGCCGGUUGCACCCCGCAGGCGUAGCUGAAGGUCGGUCCGGACUACCAUAUUAGCCAAGCGCGUACUACGGUUGGAGCAGCCGCCGUUACAGAAGGGAUUCCUCUGUAGGGUUCGUCUUCGGAGUCAUUGACGUAUGGUCCAGCUCCAUGUGCCAGUGAUCCAACUACAUUGACCAGUACUUCGGUUACGGAACAAGCUGAAUACCCAAUCGGUUAAAAAUCAAAUUGUUCAGUACUCUGUCUGAAAACACUGCCCACAUGCAGGCGUGUUCACUUCUGUCACCAAGUCAUACUGCAAAGUCUGCAAUACUAAUACUGCAUCAAUGUCUACCGUCACCUUAUCUUUUUUUUAGCCGUGGGGCCCGUGACAUUUUUAGGCUGCCCGGUAUCAACAAAAGACCGGGGAUAUCCCAGUGGACACUAGUGGCCGGCAGAAAGCGGCAGGUUUAAGACCACUUGGGUCUCGGCUUGCCUCCGGUUACUGCAAUUAGAUCCUCAUCUCCCGGCUCCCGCGUACUGAAACUUUGCUUACCGGCACCCCUGCUCUUGUCCCCAGCCAACGCCGUCUGCCGCAGCUGUGAAGUUGUCUCUGCCGGCGGCUGUCUUCCUACCCAUGGCCGUGUCCGGCGAGAAGCGGCCUCCGCCGCCGGCCCCUGCCUCCGGUGGUACAUGCUCUCUCCUUCUUUUUUCGUGUAUGCUCCAUAGUUCCAUGCCUUGUCCGGCGGUACCUGUUUCUGACUUGCUGAGUUACUGUUUCCUUUCUUUAUCUUGAUUCGUGAUUAGACUGGUGUUCGCUUGUGUCCGUGAUUAGAUGUGAUCUCUGAAUUUGUUCAUAGAUUAGUACUAAUCAAGACACAAGAUCACAUCUGGAUGCAAGCAUGAAGCCGGGAACUUGUUGCCCUUGGUUUUGUUUUUUCCCUUUUUAGAUAGCAGUUUUGACUCUUUGUUCGAUCUGAAUUGUAUGCAAAGUUGAUCAACUUUUCAUGCUCUUAGUAAUAGCUUGUAGCGCAAUAUACAUGUCCCUAUCCGUACAUUUUUUUUAAUAUUCAUUUGAUUCUUCCAAUUAAAAAAGGUAAAAAUUUAAGAAAGCAUCCUAUCUGUUUUUUGUUUCUAGAAGAACGUGAACGUAUGUAGUUGCAUUUUGUUUUAACAUUAUCUUAGUUACAGAGGUGCCUUCUAGAAUCCAGAUGACCCAAAGGAAGACACAUAUGGUCUUACGGAUAGUGAAGUGCUCUCUCUAUUGCUGAUAGUGAAAUGCUACUUUUUCUCAAUUUUUUGGGAAAAUUUGGCUUAUUUAGUCCUUUAAUGUGAAUAACAAGCAACGCGCCCAAAUAGUAAAGCAAUACCUCUAAGAGCAUAAGCAAUACCUCUAAGAGCAUAUCAUACCUCUAAGGGGAUACUAGGGGCUAAACUUUAGCCCUGUCAUAUCGGAUGUUCGGAUGCUAAUUAGGAGGACUAAACAUGAGCUAAUUAUAAAACUAAUUGCAGAACCAUGAACUAAUUCGCGAGAUAAAUCUAUUAAGUCUAAUUAAUCCAUCAUUAGUAACUAUUUGCUAAUGAUGGAUUAAUUAUGAAUUAAUUAGACUUAAUAGAUUCGUCUCGCGAAUUAGUCUCCAUCUGUGUAAUUUGUUUUGUAAUUAGCCUAUGUUUAAUACUAUGUCCUAAGAUUAUCUUGAUUUGGUCCAAUUUUUUCUUUCUAUAAAAACAGUAUAAACCGAUUACCGAAGAAUCUGAUCAAAGUAUUGUUCAAUCUAUGGAAAGACAGAAUUGACUCUGGAUGCGCGUGCGUUGAAGUUGACGCCAUUCUUAUUGUUCGGUUCGGAUUCCCGGACUAAACUUUAGUCCCUAUUACAUCGAAUAUUUAAAUACUAAUUAGAUGUAUUAAAUAUAGACUAUUUACAAAACUCAUUGCACAGAUGGAGGCUAAACAGCGAGACAAAUCUAUUAAGCUUAAUUAGUCCAUGAUUUGACAAUGUGUUGCUACAGUAAUCAUUUGCUAAAAAUGGAUUAAUUAGGCUUAAUAGAUUCGUCUCGCCGUUUAGCCUCCAUCUGUGUAAUUAGUUUUAUAAUUAUGUCAUAUUUAAUCCUUCUAAUUAGCCUCCAAACAUUCGAUGUGACUUGGACUAAACUUGAGCUCUAGGAUCCAAACACCAGAAACCAAGGACAACGCUCCCCAGUUUCUCACUGAAACUAGACUUUUGAGCACGACAUUGACAGCUUAAGCUGACAUAUUCUGUCAUCAAAGUCAAUUUUCUUCUUCGUGGGUGACAGGUGCAUCUUAUAGUUAAUUGUUAUUUGGGACAUCAGUCUUUAGCUGCUGUGGACCAUCGAUUCUCCUGAAUCCUGAUCGGACUUUACUAGUCUGCAAAUGGUCUGUGACAUUUUCAAUUCAGGGUGUUUGCUUAGGAUAUUUCAGAGACGUCUAUUUUGUCUGACGCCCCUUGAGGACCGCAGUAAGGGUUUGAAAUGGAUGUAAAAGGCGGCUAGAAGAGAUGUCGUGCACUUCAUACACAUGUUGAAAGAUUCCAUAUUUGAUUUAUGCCAAAAACUCAACUUCAGAGAAGUCUAACAUUUAUUCAGCAAAAUAAAUUGCAGACACGUUCAGACUAGUGCGUUGUUUCAGUCAUGCUAUGACACCGUAUCAGUGUAACGAACUAAUUUGUGCUCAUUUCACUCAAAGGGAUAGCGAGGAAGCUUAUGCUGGCACUGUUUGUGUCCUUGUCGGCGCUGUUGUACAAGCAGCUACAGCCGCCACCGCCGAAGAUCCCGGGCUCGCCGGGCGGUCCUCCGGUCACGGCAACCAGAACAAGGCUCAGUGACGGCAGGUACCUGGCCUACCUGGAAUCCGGCGUCCCGAAGGAGGA
rnacentral:lncRNA from 1 species